CUUGCUUUCUUUGCUGGCGACCGGCGCACGGGUGAGUAACACGUAUCCAACCUGCCCUUUACUCGGGGAUAGCCUUUCGAAAGAAAGAUUAAUACCCGAUAGCAUAAUGAUUCCGCAUGGUUUCAUUAUUAAAGGAUUCCGGUAAAGGAUGGGGAUGCGUUCCAUUAGGUUGUUGGUGGGGUAACGGCCCACCAAGCCUUCGAUGGAUAGGGGUUCUGAGAGGAAGGUCCCCCACAUUGGAACUGAGACACGGUCCGA
rnacentral:rRNA from 1 species